rnacentral:rRNA from 1 species
GACGAACGCUGGCGGCGUGCCUAAUACAUGCAAGUCGAGCGGAGUUAUGAAGGAGCUUGCUCCUGAUUAACUUAGCGGCGGACGGGUGAGUAACACGUAGGCAACCUGCCCUGUAGACUGGGAUAACGACCGGAAACGGUAGCUCAUACCGGAUAAUUCCUUUUGCCUCCUGGCGAAAGGAUGAAAGACGGAGCAAUCUGUCACUAUGGGAUGGACCCGCGGCGCAUUAGCUAGUUGGUGAGGUAACGGCUCACCAAAGCCACGAUGCGUAGCCGACCUGAGAGGGUGAUCGGCCACAUUGGAACUGAGACACGGUCCAGACUCCUACGGGAGGCAGCAGUGGGGAAUAUUGCACAAUGGGCGAAAGCCUGAUGCAGCAACGCCGCGUGAGUGAUGAAGGCCUUCGGGUUGUAAAGCUCUGUUGUUAGGGAAGAAUGAUCAGGAUAGGAAAUGAUCUUGAAGUGACGGUACCUAACCAGAAAGCCACGGCUAAC